UACAGAGGUCUCAAGCGUUGUUCAGAUUCAUUGGGCGUAAAGGGUGCGUAGGUGGCGCUGUAAGUCGGGUGUGAAAUUUCGGAGCUUAACUCCGAAACUGCAUUCGAUACUGCGGUGCUUGAGGACUGGAGAGGAGACUGGAAUUCAUGGUGUAGCAGUGAAAUGCGUAGAGAUCAUGAGGAAGACCAGUGGCGAAGGCGGGUCUCUGGACAGUUCCAGACACUGGAGGCACGAAGGCCAGGGGAGCAAACGGG
rnacentral:rRNA from 1 species